UCCUACAAUUUCAUCUCAGGCU
rnacentral:siRNA from 1 species